rnacentral:misc_RNA from 1 species
GCCCCCGCAGCCCCGCUCACAGGAUGAGUGAUAGCAUUCCACACACCUGAACCAGGGUGCAACCUCCUCCACCAAUCCAAUAACCUUCCUAUAAUCCUCGCCAGCCUUGCUCUGCUCCAAUGCCACACACUUCACGAUGGCCACCACCACCUCCACCACUACCUUCGCAAACUCUGCAUCCCCAUUCUCCACCACACUGGGUACAAACCCCCCCAAUUUUUCCUUCCUCUUCUUCUUCUCCCCCAAAUCCAAACCUCUAAGCCUCUCCAAAACCCCAAACCCUUCAUUUUCUGCUUCCUUGUAAAAUCCACAAGCUUCCAAGCAAUACAGCAACCUCACCCUCUGUAUACUCACCAUAUAAGGCUUACACGAUAACUGUGAAGACACCAGUUCCAAGCAAUCCAAACACAGCUUGUAAAUAUCAAAAAGUUCAGGAACAAGCUUCGGGGACUCCUUACUCUCCUCAGUGCGUAAUUUGGAGGAAUCAGAGAGGCGUUUUGGCAAAAUUGAAAGGCAGCGAUUGAGGAAAGGAAGGAACUGCUUAGCUAGAGAUCGAGUGAAGGUCUGGAUUUGGGAUUUGGGUUUCUUGGCAUUUCUUAGAUCAUUGAAAGGGAUAAGGAAAUCAAAGAAGUGGGAGGAAAUUGGAGUAGAAGUGGAGGAUUCGAGCAUAGAAAUUAGAUUGGAUUCUGUGGAAGAAGCCAUGAAAGAAAGAGAGAGAAGCAGAGGAAGAGGAAGGAAGAUGGGAGAAGAAAAUGAGAGUUGUUA